AAUCACAGGAUCCUUAGAGGGGACCUUGAAAUUUCAUGUGACAUGAGUCAGUGAUCGCAGGUUAAGGGCUCAUUCCCACAAGACAGCCCCCGCUUCAGAAGCCAAUUGAAAGUCCAGAUUGUUUUCCUGUGCUUCUGCCCAACUGGCUCUAAACUGGAGGUUCCCGCAGCCCACUCCUUGGGUUUGAUUAAUUUGCUAGAGUGGCUCAGAGAACUCAGGAAACCAACUUACUCACUGGAUUACCAGCCUACUACAAAGGACAUUUAAGGAUACAAAUCAGCAGCCACAUGAAGUGAGACAUAGGGCACAGCCCCAAACAAAGGAGCUUUGUUCCUGUGGAGUUUGGGGCCUGGUGUGGUGGCAUGUGGAAAUGUUCUGGUUCACCAACCUGGAAGCUCUCAGAACCCCCUUCCUUUUUUUUUUAUUUUAUGGAGACUGCAUUACACUAAACCUAAAUUACAUUAAAUUUAAAUUAUAGUAAAAGGCCUUGGUUGAUAGACUCAACCUCUAGCCUCUUUCACCUCCCCAGAAGUCACAGGGUGGGACUGAAAGUUCCUCUGAUCACAAGGUUGGGUCCCUUGGCAACCAGCUUGCAUCCAUAAGUGUGUCCAAAAGUCACCUCACUGACAAAACAGAAGACACCUGUACUGCUCAUUGUUUAGGAAAUUCCAAGGCUUUUAGGAACUCUGUGCCAGGAAUGAAGAAAGACCAAAUAUGUAUUUUUUUUUUUUUGUAUUUCUUACUAUAAAUCACAACAGCAUAGCAGGGAUUAGGGAGAAUAUUAAUUUACAUUUAUGCCCCAGCAGAGAUAAAUUGGUCCCAAAAAUAUAUAAUAAGAAUGCUAUUUUUACAUAUGUAAUUUUUAUUUUCCUAAUUCCUGUUCUUCCUCCACCCUAACCAUUAAGGCUUAUUUCCCAGUGAGGGAAAGGACAGUAUCAAAGAAGUUCUGAAGGAAAUUGUGAUAGUGUUUCCCAUCUAAUGGAAAGAGAAACUAUCUGUGAAUUCAUUAAUAGUGAUGCAAUCCUUGGUGAGAGAGGACCAGAGGCAUGCAUUGUGAGAUAAAAUAAAAAGAUGAGGGCACAGAAGAAAGAUCAGGCAGAUUCGUCUCCACUGACAGGUUGGUUAUAUUAGACUCAGAAAGUAUAAUUAAAUAAUUGUAUCUCUGUGCCCAGAUCACAAACAUCUAGUGGCAUACAUUUGCCAACACGCCAAAUUAUUUAAUUACAUGAGCGAUGAGUUACAUCUUGCAAAGUAUGACAUAGAUGCAGUUCACCUACCCUGAGUCCUGUCUCUUCUGGCAUUUAAUUGUGGCUUUUCAAUCAUUGUAGGCAGACCAGAGGUGACAUCACAUUUGAGGUAUAAUCAACAUGGUUGGUCAGCACUGAGAUGGCUUAUAUCAGACAGUUCUGGAGAGCUGGACCUGAGGUCAAGGGAGAGCAAUCCUGUAAACACAGAAGGAAUAUCAAAUAGUGCGCUGUUUUGGGGACUUUGACCUUCCAAUUAAUUGCAUCAUGGCAUACCCACCACUAUAGUAUUUUACAUAUGAAUAACAAUUUUGGUCUAAGUAUCUUGCAUAUUUUUCAAGAAAUAGCAUUGCUAUUUUAGUUCUGUUUUUUUUAUAAGUGGAAAUAGUGGGUUGCAGGAAUUAAAGUAGCUUUUAAUGAUAUUGUUUAGUGCUAAUUGAGGCUGGUAGUUGAUAAGUGUAAAUAUUAAGGAAAAAUGUGUACAUAUAUUAUAUAUAUAUAUAUAAAACAAUAUUAGUCAAAAUAAACCUGAAAAUGUGAUUCUGACAAGUCUUCACCUUAUUUCAUUUUUUGCCUUUUUUCCCUUCCCAACAGUUCAAAAUUCCUAUAUUUCUUUAAACCUGCUCAAAUUUGUGAGUUUCAGUCAGUAUAUUACCUUUUCCAGAGGUAUAUAUAGUUUAAACAUUUUCUUUCCUUGUGAAAGAUAAGCUUUGUCCUCAGUAAAAGGAAUUUCAAAGUCCAAAGAGGGUGAAGCACUCUCUUUUGGAAGUAGAGAGUCCUUUCUACUAUGAUUACACUUGCUUUGGCUUUUAGUAUUGAUGGGUUUAGUCUGUAAAUAUUUCUUCACAUAAGUAAGGUUCAAAAAGACAGAGAGUCCCAGUUGAUUAAGUGGAAAUUCAUCAGUUAAUCUGGAGAAGUUUAACUAUUAAAAUAACUUUUGUUUAUUCCCUGACAUAAGCCAAGAACUGUUCAUUGGUUUGUUUUCUGGUAACACUGCUGCAAUAGCAAAUGUUACUGAGUUAGUGACACAGUCCCUCCCCACUACCUGUACCCCAAGAGCAUUGCAAGAGACUGUUUUUUUUUUAAUUAACUUUUAAUUAAAGGAGAAAGUAGCAAUUUGGAAAAAAGAAUAUGCUAAACAUUUUAACUAUUUAAGAACAUUGUUUCAAAGAAGUAACUAUAAUAUAUCUGUAAAACAUCACUCAUUUUUUUUGGUAAAAUACAAAAGGAAAUACUUGGUUGAAGACAGUAUCAGAAUUCAUGUUUUUGUGAUCACAUAUCUCAAAAUAAAAUAUAAAUUCAUUAAGUUUCUUCCAAGCAUUUUUCAGAUUCCAUGUGAUUUGUUCUUGUUAAUAGGGCGAAUACAUUAAAUUAAAAUUUUGUAUCAAAACUAUGGGAUUUAAAAUAAACCAGUCUGGAUGACACAUGGGUAUGAUGCAGAAAACCACUAAUGAAAAUAAGGCAGGAUUCCAAGUGUAUCAGAUGUCCAUAUUUGUGUAUGUUCUAUAUUAAAAAAUGGAUUUGUUACUUCAUAAAUCUAAGGCUUUGGCUUGGUUUUAAGAUUUUGAUACUUUAAUGACCCGUGCUGACCCUCUCUCUCAUCAUUCCUUGACUAUUCCAAAGCCUUCACUUCUCCACUUCUGCCCACCUUUGGCAUGUUCAUACCCUAGACCCUGUCAGCACAUGGUAAUACUUCACCUCAGAAUUUACUUUUUCCUUUGGUUACAACCUUUUCGCCUUCAACCUUUCCCAUUUCUCAACCCCUCUGAAAUGGUUAUUCUUUCCAUCCCUCCCUGGCACUCGGCCACGUAGCCUAUAGCAGGUCUGCUGCAGCCUCUCUCUCCCCUA